rnacentral:rRNA from 1 species
UGGGGAGUAUUGGACAAUGGGCGAAAGCCUGAUCCAGCCAUGCCGCAUGAGUGAAGAAGGCCUUUGGGUUGUAAAGCUCUUUUAGUGAGGAAGAUAAUGACGGUACUCACAGAAGAAGUCCUGGCUAACUCCGUGCCAGCAGCCGCGGUAAUACGGAGAGGGCUAGCGUUAUUCGGAAUUAUUGGGCGUAAAGGGCGCGUAGGCUGGUUAGUAAGUUAAAAGUGAAAUCCCGAGGCUUAACCUUGGAACUGCUUUUAAAACUGCUAACCUAGAGAUUGAAAGAGGAUAGAGGAAUUCCUAGUGUAGAGGUGAAAUUCGUAAAUAUUAGGAGGAACACCAGUGGCGAAGGCGUCUAUCUGGUUCAAAUCUGACGCUGAGGCGCGAAGGCGUGGGGAGCAAGCA